UAGCUAGUUGGUGAGGUAACGGCCCACCAAGGCGACGAUUGGUAGCCGGACUGAGAGGUUGAACGGCCACAUUGGGACUGAGACACGGCCCAGACUCCUACGGGAGGCAGCAGUGGGGGAUAUUGCACAAUGGGGGAAACCCUGAUGCAGCGACGCCGCGUGGAGGAAGAAGGUUUUCGGAUUGUAAACUCCUGUCGUUAGGGACGAUAAUGACGGUACCUAACAAGAAAGCACCGGCUAACUACGUGCCAGCAGCCGCGGUAAAACGUAGGGUGCAAGCGUUGUCCGGAAUUACUGGGUGUAAAGGGAGCGCAGGCGGACCGGCAAGUUGGAAGUGAAAACUAUGGGCUCAACCCAUAAAUUGCUUUCAAAACUGCUGGCCUUGAGUAGUGCAGAGGUAGGUGGAAUUCCCGGUGUAGCGGUGGAAUGCGUAGAUAUCGGGAGGAACACCAGUGGCGAAGGCGACCUACUGGGCACCAACUGACGCUGAGGCUCGAAAGCAUGGGUAGCAAACAGGAUUAGAUACCCUGGUAGUCCAUGCCGUAAACGAUGAUUACUAGGUGUUGGAGGAUUGACCCCUUCAGUGCCGCAGUUAACACAAUAAGUAAUCCACCUGGGGGGUACGACCGCAAGGUUGAAACUCAAAGGAAUUGACGGGGGCCCGCACGAGCAGUGGAGUAUGUGGUUUAAUUCGAAGCAACGCGAAGAACCUUACCAGGUCUUGACAUCCGAUGCAUAGCUUAGAGAUAAGUGAAGUCCUUCGGGACAUCGAGACAGGUGGUGCAUGGUUGUCGUCAGCUCGUGUCGUGAGAUGUUGGGUUAAGUCCCGCAACGAGCGCAACCCUUAUUGCCAGUUACUACGAAAGAGGACUCUGGCGAGACUGCCGUUGACAAAACGGAGGAAGGUGGGGAUGACGUCAAAUCAUCAUGCCCUUUAUGACCUGGGCUACACACGUACUACAAUGGCGUUUAACAAAGAGAAGCAAGACCGCGAGGUGGAGCAAAACUCAAAAACAACGUCUCAGUUCAGAUUGCAGGCUGCAACUCGCCUGCAUGAAGUCGGAAUUGCUAGUAAUCGCGGAUCAGCAUGCCGCGGUGAAUACGUUCCCGGGCCUUGUACACACCGCCCGUCACACCAUGAGAGCCGGGGGGACCCGAAGUCGGUAGUCUAACCGCAAGGAGGACGCCGCCGAAGGUAAAACUGGUGAUUGGGGUGAAGUCGUAACAAGGUAACCGUA
rnacentral:rRNA from 1 species